rnacentral:rRNA from 1 species
GACAGAGGGGGCAAGCGUUGCUCGGAAUCACUGGGCGUAAAGGGCGCGUAGGCGGCGAAGCAAGUUGGGUGUGAAAGCCCUGGGCUCAACCCAGGAAGUGCAUUCAAAACUGCUUCGCUUGAAUCUCGGAGGGGGUCAGAGAAUUCCCGGUGUAGAGGUGAAAUUCGUAGAUAUCGGGAGGAAUACCAGUGGCGAAGGCGCUGACCUGGACGAAGAUUGACGCUGAGGUGCGAAAGCGCGGGGAGCAAACAGG